UGAUCUGUCUACCCCGAGGCCUGGGUUCCAGCAGGGACAUGUUUUUGGCUUCCCUGUCUCUGAGGGGGCUCUGGAUUGUGGCAGGGACUCAGGGGCGUUAGUGCAUGGGUGGACUGCAGCCUCGGCUUGACUUGUCUUAAUGGCCUCUAGUGACUUACAUGGUGGGGCUGGAACUGGACCUUUCCCAGGGCCAUGACCCUUUUGGCCCAAACUGCUUCCCCCAAGCUGACUUCCCCACCUGUGUCCAGCCUCUCCUGGCCCUGGGCUAGCCACUAAAGAGGGCUGGCAGGGGUGGGGGUAUUGUGUCAGCGGGUCUAGGCCAAGCUGCACUGCGUGGAUCGGCUACAGGCAGAUGCUGUCUCCUGUUUGUUCUGUCUGACUCUCCUUCCUACCCGUUCCUUUUUAACAUGUUCCAGUGUUUUUACCAGAAUUGGCUGCUCAGCUAAAUAAACUCCUGAUAUGGAAAGUUCAGCUUGACAAAACACAAAUCAUAGAGGCCUUGUUUGCUUAAGGGAAAAAAAAAUGCCUGAGCUGGCACACGUUCCCGCGCUUCCUUUCUGCCCUCUCUGCGUGUCUGUUCCCAGCUCUCGCUCUCUGGAUCGGCAUCCCUCCCUCCUUUCUCUAAGGCUUCUGCUUUUUCCCCCUGCUUCCCUUGUCUCCACCCGCCUAGAUCACUGUCUCUCAGUCAUUCUGCGGAACUUCCUCUGUGUCUCUCACUGGAGCGCCCUAACUUCCUCUCCCACCUCCCUUCAUCAAGGAGCAGUCUCAUGCCCAGGAGCUACAAAUGUAGCUUUGCAGGCAUUGAUUGAGCUGUGCUGGGCCCUAGGCAGCAAUGACUCAAACUUGACACUUAACCCCCAGGCAGGUAAGUGAGCCCCAGUGCUUUCCGAUGCCAACCACAGUUUGGAAUUAGGGGAUACAGACAUUCUGAUGGCAAGGGUCAGGGAAUCUCCUAGGACACUGGAGGAAUACCAGGCCUGGGGAUAAGCAGCUUGUUUUUCGUUUUUGACACAAAGGAGUGGCUGGAAGUUUCUGAGCCAAGGCUCUGCUGGACUGGGGAUGGUGUUGCCAAUGAAUAGCAUGGAUUGGAAAAGACCAGACUGGAGGUGGGAGCUGGGCAACUAGGGAACUGGAACAAUAGGCCAAGCAGGGGGCCAGCAGUUGGCAGCACGGCCCAUGUGCCCCCAGGGAAUGCGAAGGCGGUCAGUAGGCAGGGAAGUGGGGUGGGGAAGGGGUCAGCUGGGGGAGGUAGGCAGAGAAGGCUCAGGUCCAAGCUCCAGUCCAUGCCAUGGCAACAAGUGUCACAGAGGUCCCUGGUGGGGCCGAGGAUGGAUUAAAGACCCUAAAGGCCAAGUCCAGCUUCUCUCUCUCGCUCCUCUGGGUGAAGAAGGUAUGUUUCCUCCAGAGCCUCAGAUUAGACAUCCGUUGACCUUGUCUAUCCAGUUCUGUUUCCCUCUUCUUCCCAUAGGGGUCGCCCUCCUUCCCCGGUCCUUAAGUGGGGCGGGCACCGCUCCCAGGAUGGUCAUAUGACCCAGUCCUAGCCAAUCACCAUGGUCCCGCCUCCUGGCUACCACAAUUGGCUCAGGGAUGAGCACGUGGCCCGUAGUGGCCCAAUGAGAGUCAUCCCUGAGUGGGAACUGGUGGGAAAGAAUUCUGCAGGAGCAUCUGGAGUUGCUCAAACGGAGUGCCUGCAGCCAUCUUUCCUUCCACGUGCGGAGGAAUCAGCCUGAGAAUGAAACCAUCGCAGGAAAGGGCUGAAAGACAGUGGGGUUGGGGAGAGGCCUCGGGAUGGCAAGGACCAGGAUCUGCUGCCAAGCCUAUGGGUCCUGUCUCUGGGAUGCCCCUGGGACACUGGUACCCAUGGAUGCACUGGGCGACUUGAGGUGCUUGCUGCAGAGGCAUCAGGGGUCUCUGGCCAGAGGCGACAUCUGAAGCAAUCGGGAUCCUGUUUGGUUUUGCCACAUCCGACCUGCCGCCCGGCCGGGGCAAGACAGCCACGCGCAGCGGAUGCACCGGCCCUGAACUCUUUCUCGAGUGGUCCCCAGAGAUUUCAGGAAGAGAGAGAAGAGGUAAAGAGACCAGAAACAAAGUCUUCUGCAAGCAAAGAACUGCAACAGGCCCCAGCUGUUAGGUUUGAGGGGCAUAUGGGGCAGGCGACUGAACUGCACAGUUGGGGCCAGAGGUACGGUUGCUGACCCCUGAGCCCAGGAGCCUUGAGAAUAUGGACAGUGUUAAUAAUAACUGCAAACAUCCAACAGAUGAUGCUAGAAUAACUGGACAUCUGUGUGCAAAAAUAAUGAACCUAUACCUUGCACCUUA